rnacentral:rRNA from 1 species
GACGAACGCUGGCGGCGUGCUUAACACAUGCAAGUCGAACGGUAAGGCCCUUCGGGGUACACGAGUGGCGAACGGGUGAGUAACACGUGGGUGAUCUGCCCUGCACUUCGGGAUAAGCCUGGGAAACUGGGUCUAAUACCGGAUAGGACUCCUGGCUUCAUGGUUGGGAGUGGAAAGCUUUUGCGGUGUGGGAUGGGCCCGCGGCCUAUCAGCUUGUUGGUGGGGUAAUGGCCUACCAAGGCGACGACGGGUAGCCGGCCUGAGAGGGUGACCGGUCACACUGGGACUGAGAUACGGCCCAGACUCCUACGGGAGGCAGCAGUGGGGAAUAUUGCACAAUGGGCGCAAGCCUGAUGCAGCGACGCCGCGUGAGGGAUGACGGCCUUCGGGUUGUAAACCUCUUUCAGCUAUGACGAAGCGCAAGUGACGGUAGUAGCAGAAGAAGGACCGGCCAGCUACAUGCCAGCCGCCGCGGUAA